AAACUGUUAUAAGAUCUCCCUUAUCAAAUGAUCAUUUAUCUCUGCAGAAAAGAUAUGAAAAACAGCAAGUGAAACCAGCUACUUCAACUAUGAACCCAAAAAGUAAAGAGGAGAAAAUCAAACAUGAUGCAUAUGUGAAGAAAACCCAAGAUACAACAAAGGGAAUGGAUCUAGUGAGAGGUACCAGGGCCUUAGUAGAGACAGCAAUAAAGGAUAAGAAGAUAUUUGCUCUCCAUGGCCAUUAUCCUGUUUUGCGGAGAUGCCUAGAAAACAGAGGAUGGUUAGAAAAAACAAGUUUCAGAACUGGUAAGG